ensembl:lncRNA
AUGACAGCUGACUUCAUUCCUGUCCGCACAGAGACAGCUGCAAGAGCAACAGCCACGCUGCCUAAGGAGGUGGUUAGAAACUUGGAGGGGUCUGAUCAACAGCCCGCUUUAAAACUGCAGGAUGGAGAUGCAUUUUCUAACGAACUCCUGAGUAAUGUAAGUGUCCCCACCUCUGCACGAGGCUCACAGGCCACCACCCAUCCAGAGCAGUCAGAGAGGUCAGUGCCAGGCAAAGCACAAACUGUCCCUGAGGCUGCUGUCAGCCCGACCAGCUCCAGCGCUGGGCUGCCCCAGCCCACUCCCACUGGGGGGGUGCACCAAGACUCUCGGGGGGUUGCAGCUGUCUCUCCCAUUCCUGUUAUCAAGCAGACGGAGGUGCCAAGUCCUAAAAUUUCUCUUCUGACUUCAACGGUAAAUUUCCAUCCUCCAAGAAAAGAAACAGCACCAUCUCCGUUUCCGACCAGCGUUAAGAUGGCUUUUGUAAGUGCAGGGCUGGGCCGGUUACCACCAUUAGCACCUCCCACUACCAAAAGGCCAAGGGAUGCAAGUCCCCAAGUCCAGCCUGACAGCAGAGCUGCUGUGACACCUACAUACGUGAAGAGGACUCGGAGUGUGGAUGCUCAAUUUACUACUUCUGCAUUCCCACAAAAGCCAGCUUCGGUGGGCCUUGAUGCAGCUUAUUUCAGAGUGACACAGACAACUGCUGUUCAGUUUUCCCCUCUUUUAUCUCUGAACCAAGAACCAGCAGGCAGUGAAGGCAGAAACUCAGUAACAGCUGUAAUAAAUGGCUCUAGACACACAACCCUAUUGCCUGCUCUUCAGCAGCUCCUGCAAGGCAAUGCACAGUCGUCUUCAUUGCUGAUGCGUCCUGAAGCUCUAGGUCAUGACGAAUUGAUUCCACCUCCGUUUCAAGGGCCCAUUGAUGCAGCCGAUAAACCACAGCCUCUCCUCUUGUCCCAGACUCUCAACUGUACUAAACACCAUGCUUCACAUGACACCAACAGGAGCGCUCAGGAAAGCACAGUCCUAGCUUUACAAAGAGAUACUGAUCACCUGAUGAUGACAAGUAAGCCUGAAAAAUCCAGAUCCUCUGAGAGCCCGCAGGCUUCUUCUAAUUCAUCUUCAUCGGGCCAGUCACAAACCUUCACGUUAAACCUCUCCCAAACUACUAGAGAGCUAAAAGGAGCAACAUCUCCACUCCUUCCAGGUGCAUCUACCUUUGAGAAGACAGCCCUUCCACCUGUAACCACUUCUGCUGCUGUUCACGCAGCACUUCAGCCACUAGCUACAUCUGUUGCUUCCUAUGCUGGAUUGCAGCCGAUGGGUGUCCCCACCUCUGCCGCGAGAGGACUCCACGUACUGACUUCAUCUGCUGCUGCUGGUUCUGGGUCUCAGGUUCGAGGCGUUUCGGCCCAUCCCGGACCUCGGGAAGCGUUCGCUGUGGUGCCGCAUAUGAGCACGGUGGGAGAUUCCAAGGGACAGAAAAGUUUUCCACAUCAGAUAGAUAAGGCUGGUUCUCCUCCCCUGACUCCACAAGCCAGCGUGGUCUCCAGCCCCUCUGGACUGCAGGAUGAGAACCAGAAAGCUUCUCUUGACAGCUCUGCCCCUUCAGCCUCCCCCAUCCAGCACGCUGGCAGCCUGGAAGCUUUUGUUGGCAGACUGCACCCACCCCACGCACAGGAAAGCCAGUCCAGCACAACAACAGCACGUCCUGAGCCAGCGGUACCUGUUGUUUCUGAGAUCCCAGCACAUCUGGCCCAAGCACUGCUGCAGCAGUUUGGUGCAUCGCAUGAUGCAGCUACCAAAAACCUCAGUGCUCUCAGAACCGAUCACCCUAAAAUGCUUCCGUCAUCCCUGUAUUUGUCCUUUUUGCUUAGGAAUACCGACGGCAUGAUAUGCCUGCUUCCCAUGCAAGAGUCCCCUUUGCCUGCAAGUUUCCCUAAUGUCAGUGUUGGGACUCUGGUUUCUGUUCAGCAAAUCCUGGCAGCAUCAAACUCUUCAUUAGCAGAUCUUGCAAACUUGCGAAAUGGGAGUCCUUCUAGCUUAAUUCUGGUUAAGCCUGUAUUUAUCCUUUUUCCCACGGACAGAGCAGACUUACAGAUGGUGCCCUCUCCUCAGGGUGAAGAUGACCACAAAAGCGCCCUCUCAUUCACAAACAAGCAAGGUCAGACCGUGGUUACCCAUGAACACAGCCGUGAUAUCCCAGAGAAAACUAGUUCCUCGCAUCCCACUAGUGAGUCUCUGAGACCUCAAACUACUCUCUCCACUGCUUCUGACCAGCGAGCGGAGAAAGCCAAAGUUACUUCUCAGCCAGUGCUGACUACUGCGAGUUACGUGGCCAUCCCUAGUUCUUCUCAAGCCACUGCCCCAGCAGCAGCUCGCUUGCUGGACCCGCAGCUGAGGACGAGCACAGCAGCGCAGGCUCCUCACCUACAGGGGCUGCCUGAGGAGCUGCAGGCAGCUGCUGCCCCUUCCCCAGGGGCUGAGGUGCCUUCCCCUGGUGGGAUGGCAACCGAGCCUCCCGCCUCCCUGGGGCCACCAGUACUGGUGCGGGCACAGCACAGCCCCCCUACAGCCCCCACAGGAUUUUUCAAAGCUGAAAAGCCGCUUUCUUUUUCUGUAACCCCUUUGCUGUCAGCAGUGGGGCUCGCUGGUCUUCCGAUGCCGGCCCAGCCUCCGUUUACUGUCGCAGGGGCUGUGGGUCAGGUGCAGCACGGUACGGGACUGACGCUGCAGACCACCACCCAUGGCCAGGGCUCAGUGAGCCCGUCUUCCUCUGCCCGUGCACCGUGCACAGAUUGUUUGAGCUCAGCUAGAACUGUAAAAUACCCGCUAAAGAUGUCCCCAAACAUCGUGCCUUUGCAGUCCACGUCGCAAAGUCAGCUAAGCACCGAGUCGCUCCAAAGGCUGCCGUCACAAGUUCCAUUUGUACCCAGCGCUGUGUUGGCUUUCUCAGUAUUUCCAGCUGGCAAUGAUGGCAGAGGCUCGGCAGCGGGCAGCACUGCCUCUUCUGGAGUCACUCUGCGUGCUAAAGCAGCACCCGUCCCCCCCACCUCUAUAAAGCCUGAUCUCACCAAGCACUUGGAAUUUGUUACCAUUGUGCCCAAGCCUGUUGUCAGGACGGAGACCCCAACACCAGUACCAGCGCGUACCCUAUUUGCAACAAAGGUCAAAGCAGCAGCUUCUGGGAAAUUGCUGGCGACCAGCACCCCCCCGAGGAUGUACGGCAGGUCCCCCGCGAGCCUGCCCUCACCGGUGUCUGCCCACGUUCCCCUGCCAUCGGCUGUGAAACGUGAGCAAAGCAGUCGAGCACCUUCUGCAUUGUUCUCACCGGCCAACGUGGGAGAAAAUGGGAAACCAACCGAAGGCAGCGCAAGCCCGAGAAAAAUGGGAGCUGGUGGAUUCUUGGGAACCAGCACGUCUCUGCCGGCCGUGUUUAGCACAAAGACAGAGCAGCCCCCCGCAGCAGCUCUCGGCAGCCAGGCUGGUGUGGCUCCAGCACAGCCGUCUGCGGCUGCAGAGCCUAUGAUUGCUCUCGAGAGCGAGCCUAAAUUGACACAGACCACCUCGCCAUCUCCAUUAGCGGUGACUUCUCUCUCUGCGGCUAAGAAUGAUUAUAUCACCGCUUCAUUUAGCCAAAAGAAAGUGUUUUUCCUGCCAACAUCGGCUCUGCAAUCUGACCCGAACGUGGUGUUUCCUACAAUUGCCGUAAUGAGCAGCUCAGCUAAGGUCCCUGCAUCGGGGGCGAAGAGCGAGGGCGUGUUUCUGAAAGGGGACACAGCCACCGCCAGCCAGGUGCCUGGUCGGGCAGCCACCUCCUCAGCACCUCGGGCACGGGAGGAGAAGGUGCCCCUGGGAGCCAGCACGGAGCAGGAGGCUGGCCACUCCAGCCAGCACGCUGCUGGGCAGGCCGCGGGGCCGUCUACAGCAAAAUCACUUUCUGUGCCUGCGAGUAAGGUUACCAAUCGGCCAGCUGCCUUAAAUAAAGCAGCUGCUGAUGGUGCUGAGAUGCUCCUAACCAGAGACCUGAGCCCGCUGCCUCCAAGCCUGGGGAGCCCCUCGCAUCCUGCGGGGGCCGUGGCAGCACGCACAGCAGCCAGCGAUCCCUGGCCGGGUGCUACGGCCACUGCACCCACCGAGGGGCUGCUCCCGGGCACAGAGGCCGAGGAGGAGGCCGGACCACACGGGGUGACCCACGGAGACCCCGCAGGCUCAGAAUCUGCUCUAAUGCCCCCGGGUUCGGAGCCCAGGGCGCUGCUGAGUGAAUCCCGGCAGAGGAGGGUUUUGCAGCAGGACGGUGCCGUUCUCAGCGGGAUCGCAGUUGUCAGCGACGAGGCCUGUGGCUCUGGCAACUACACGGUGCAGAUGAGCCUGCGCCCUGCGGCAGAAGCGAGCCCGGAGCUGCAGGGCUCAGCACCUCCCCAGGACGCCUUCCUGGCCUCCCUGGCCGUGCGGAGCAGCAGCAGCCAGCCCGUGCUGCGGGUCCGCUCCUGCUGCGUGACGCCGUCCAGCAGCCCGGGGGGCCCCGGUGCCGUGUGCUGCCUGCUCCCCAGGCUGCUGUCCGAAUGCAGACACAUCCAGUUACUGCAGAGCAGCGAGCCCAGAGCUGCGAGCUUCACCAUCCAGCCGUUCCAGGUGCUGAAUCACUCGGUGGCCUAUUUGCACUGCGAGCUCAAUGUCUGUCUGCACGGCAAACCGGGCUGCGAACAGGGCUGCUUUGACAGUGUGGAGCCGCUUCCCCAGCCAGGUGACAGGAACAGCCCUGGGCAGCUGCACAACCUGAUCUCGUUUGGUCCAGUUCUGCGAACCAAGGACAGGUUUCUCUAUAAACCUGUGGAAGGUGGGUCCCUGAUUUGCAUCUCUCUCUGCCUCUCUCCUGCAGAAGUCUCUGCUCAGUGUUUCUGCUGUAAGAAAAAUGAUAGCAGAAUAAGGCUGGUCACCAAUUGGGAGCAUUUUCAUUUUUCUUUCUGUCCGCAGGUGAAAUACAGCAGCUGGUUUAUGUUAAUCAGCUGUUGUCCAGCAGUUAGAAAGGAGAGAGAUUCAUUCCAGCAUGUCACGAGCAUGACAGACUACUUAAAUCAGUGGCACCAUCUCUGAGAGUCACUUAACUUUUGUGUCUGACAUUCUUAUGCAAAGACUAUUUACUGUGAGAUCUGAAGGCAAAGUGUUUGGGUCUUCCCAAAGAAAGGGAACUACCCAUCCAGAUUACUCUGUGGAAGAAACAGCCCUACCUGCUUGGUGUGCUGUAAAGAUGGAUGGGGUUUUAGCCUCCCCUUUCUUCUUCCUUACCUCCUUAACGCUGUUCACAGGUCGAUUACUUUAUUUCCAGGUCCUGAUUCUGCCAUGCUGGUGCCCAUUCUCCUGGGGUCCCUGACUGGCUUUGCUGUUUUGGGCAGUGCUUUCAUCAGCCUUUGGCUGCACCACAGACGGAAAACCAAAAGCCUAGGUUGUCCACAGUUUGGAGAAAUCCGCGGCCUGUGAACUAGGAGCAGCUGACCUCUGCAGAUCCCACACCACAGCUACAAUGAUCAGAAGAGCGAUUGAUUUUGCAUUGCACACUGUAUUGCUUUUGUAGAGCUUCUGCUGACCCAGGGAGCAAGCUCUCCAGCCGCUGCUUUAAGUGUGAAGGAGACCCACAAGCUGCAGCAUGGAGAGGGCUGUAGGAGCAGCUCAGCUAAAAGGGAGAGCAGAGCUUAAAAUGCCAUAUGUGCAAGCACCAGCACACAGUCUGUUCACAGAAAUGGAAAAGUUGUCAGGGUGCAGUAGAUCUACCUAAAAUAAAGCACUAGACUAGAGCCA